GACGAACGCUGGCGGCGUGCUUAACACAUGCAAGUCGAACGGAAAGGCCCUGCUUUUGUGGGGUUCUCGAUUGGCGAACGGGUGAGUAACACGUGAGUAACCUGCCCUUGACUUUGGGAUAACUUCAGGAAACUGGGGCUAAUACCGGAUAGGAGCUCCUGCUGCAUGGUGGUGGUUGGAAAGUUUCGGCGGUUGGGGAUGGACUCGCGGCUUAUCAGCUUGUUGGUGGGGUAGUGGCUUACCAAGGCUUUGACGGGUAGCCGGCAUGAGAGGGUGACCGGCCACAUUGGGACUGAGAUACGGCCCAGACGCCAACGGGAGGCAGCAGUGGGGAAUAUUGCACAAUGGGCGGAAGCCUGAUGCAGCAACGCCGCGUGCGGGAUGACGGCCUUCGGGUUGUAAACCGCUUUCGCCUGUGACGAAGCGUGAGUGACGGUAAUGGGUAAAGAAGCACCGGCUAACUACGUG
rnacentral:rRNA from 1 species